rnacentral:rRNA from 1 species
GACGAACGCUGGCGGCGUGCUUAACACAUGCAAGUCGAACGGAAAGGCCCUGCUUUUGUGGGGUGCUCGAGUGGCGAACGGGUGAGUAACACGUGAGUAACCUGCCCUUGACUUUGGGAUAACUUCAGGAAACUGGGGCUAAUACCGGAUAGGAGCUCCUGCUGCAUGGUGGGGGUUGGAAAGUUUCGGCGGUUGGGGAUGGACUCGCGGCUUAUCAGCUUGUUGGUGGGGUAGUGGCUUACCAAGGCUUUGACGGGUAGCCGGCCUGAGUGGGUGACCGGCCACAUUGGGACUGAGAUACGGCACAGACUCCUACGGGAGGCAGCAGUGGGGAAUAUUGCACAAUGGGCGGAAGCCUGAUGCAGCAACGCCGCGUGCGGGAUGACGGCCUUCGGGUUGUAAACCGCUUUCGCCUGUGACGAAGCGUGAGUGACGGUAAUGGGUAAAGAAGCACCGGCUAACUACGUG